rnacentral:rRNA from 1 species
GACGAACGCUGGCGGCGUGCUUAACACAUGCGAGUCGAACGGAAAGGCCCUGCUUUUGUGGGGUGCUCGAUUGGCGAACGGGUGAGUAACACGUGAGUAACCUGCCCUUGACUUUGGGAUAACUUCAGGAAACUGGGGCUAAUACCGGAUAGGAGCUCCUGCUGCAUGGUGGGGGUUGGAAAGUUUCGGCGGUUGGGGAUGGACUCGCGGCUUAUCAGCUUGUUGGUGGGGUAGUGGCUUACCAAGGCUUUGACGGGUAGCCGGCCUGAGAGGGUGACCGGCCACAUUGGGACUGAGAUACGGCCCAGACUCCUACGGGAGGCAGCAGGGGGGAAUAUUGCACAAUGGGCGGAAGCCUGAUGCAGCAACGCCGCGUGCGGGAUGACGGCCUUCGGGUUGUAAACCGCUUUCGCCUGUGACGAAGCGUGAGUGACGGUAAUGGGUAAAGAAGCACCGGCUAACUACGUG